rnacentral:siRNA from 1 species
AGGAAAGCAGAUUGGUCACUCA